GCAUGCCUGGCCGAGUGGUUAGUGCGUUGUUUGUUAUACAAUAGGUCACGAGUUCGAUUCCGGUUCUAUGCG
rnacentral:tRNA from 1 species